rnacentral:lncRNA from 1 species
GUCAGAGGAAAUAUAAAUUAGACAGACUUUAGUUUAAUCUUCAAACUUUACUUACAUUUAUUUAUGUUAAAUUUAAAAUAAGCAUUUUUAAUGAAUACAUUUAUUCUGUGAAUUCAUUUAAUUUCAUGAGUACCAAUUUUUGUAGAUUGAGGGAAACUUGCAGAUUCAUGGAUAUAUAACUUCAUGGUUUUGGCAAAGUCUACAUACAUUUCUUUAGAAAAUUUGAAAUUUGUUGAACAUUUUGAUUCAUGGAUAUCUUUAUCCACGAACAUUGGUAUCCAACGAAUAUUAAUGAAUCUUGUAUAUAAAAUACAGUUCUGACAACAUGAAUUUCAUUGACCAGUUAAAGCUAUACAUUACAGAGAAUAUUUCUUUGAAACAUGGCAAGAAUCUGAUAUUGAUGCAAACCCUAAUAUCAUAUGGUCCAUCAAACAAAUAGCAUAAAUAAUAGGAUGAAUCAACACUGAAAUUACAACAUUAAGGUGGUACAUCACACUACAGGGAGAUAACUCUGUAAAAAUCAGCUGAACGUUUUAAUAACAUUCUAUUGUUCAGGAAAUAUUAAGCUUUUCAAUGAUCAAAAGUAGUGUUAGUAAAACUUCUAUUUGUCCAAAGAAAAGUUUCCAAUAAAUGUGUGUGGUUCAAAAUUUUCCAAAUUUUAAUAUUUUUGACAUAAGUUCAAAGUUAAUAUUUCGUCAAAAUUUAAUGAAAAUUAAACGAGCCAAAUUAAUUUUAGUGAAGGUGUUUGGUACCACCUUAAAUAAAACCCUUGGCUUUAUAUAAUGGAUGAAGAAUCAGCUUUUUAUUUAAGUAAAUUUUAAAGGUUCUUCUAUCUUAUCUUAAAAUAAAGAUAACUUUCACCAGAAAUUC